UUCAUAUUUUAAAUAUCACAACUUCAAUCUUGAAUCAACAUUAAUAAGGAAAUUUUCAUCGAUGCAAUGUAAAUUUGUUGAAAAACCUUGCGUACAAGUUCUCCAAGUACGUGAGAUUUCGUUCGUAACUUGUAUGAUUCAUCGGUCGAGCACGCGCCAGCAUUAGCAUUCAUCAUAGUCAGAAACAAAAAUAUAGAUUAUUGGCUAUCGGUAGCUCGUGAGGACUUUGUAACCAUGGUCAUAAAUAUUUCCCUUGCUUGCUAGACCAUUGAUUGGCCACGCUCAUACCGCGCAUCCGUUAACCGAUAACUCACAUUAUGUCAUGUCGCGGCCAGUAAUCGACGAACAAACAGCGAUCGUUACCUUUCGACAACGUCGGAUCUGUUACGGAUGACUGUGAUCACUCGACGAAAGGAAUAGUGAUCGUGAUCUCGCGAAAAUUCUUGUGUGUAAAUAAGUACUUAAAGCGUGAUGGUUCGAAUGAUGACGUUCUUUUACAAGGUAAGAACGCAUCACUACAAUCGCUCAAUAUCUUCUUGCUCGUGCAUAGACUAAAACGAACAGAAAAGUCACCUAUUUCCUUGGAAGUCGCCUCUUCUACAAGAGUCCAGAGCUCUAAAGAGCUUCGUAAG